UACGUAGGGGGGCUAGCGUUGUCCGGAAUCAUUGGGCGUAAAGCGCGUGUAGGCGGUUCGGUAAGUCCGCUGUGAAAGUCGGGGGCUCAACCCUCGGAUGCCGGUGGAUACUGUCGGGCUUGAGUACGGAAGAGGCGAGUGGAAUUCUCGGUGUAGAGGUGAAAUUCGUAGAUAUCGGGAAGGAACACCGGUGGCGAAGGCGGCGACCUGGGUGAGAUAACUGACGCUGAGGUGCGAAAGCGUGGGGAGCAAACAGG
rnacentral:rRNA from 1 species